GCCUCUAACCAACAGGCUAUCGUGAAGAUCAUACGCACUGCACUGGUUACAUGGAUUACAGCUGCAGACUUCUAACACAAAAUCCACACACAAGUACACGGACCCAGGUGGAGGCCUCAGCCCCUUAUUUCCUGCUUCUCUCCACUGUCUUAUUUUCAAGCUGCUACUGGUGCACCAUGAGAACCUGAUUUAAUACUAAGUGUCCAUACCAAAGCACCAUUCAACUCUGUGCCACCCACCAAGAAACAAGAGAGUUUUUACACAAUGGCUACUUGUAGAACCUCCGAACUACCUACAGAGUCCCCGUGGUGACAUGCUGUAAAGUACUCCGUAUUUGUUUCCACUAACUGGGUGAUUGAAAAUAAUAAAAAUUUAUUAUCUGACA
rnacentral:lncRNA from 1 species